rnacentral:rRNA from 1 species
GACGAACGCUGGCGGCGUGCUUAACACAUGCAAGUCGAACGGAAAGGCCCUGCUUUUGUGGGGUGCUCGAGUGGCGAACGGGUGAGUAACACGUGAGUAACCUGCCCUUGACUUUGGGAUAACUUCAGGAAACUGGGGCUAAUACCGGAUAGGAGCUCCUGCUGCAUGGUGGGGGUUGGAAAGUUUCGGCGGUUGGGGAUGGACUCGCGGCUUAUCAGCUUGUUGGUGGGGUAGUGGCUUACCAAGGCUUUGACGGGUAGCCGGCCUGAGAGGGUGACCGGCCACAUUGGGACUGAGAUACGGCGCAGACUCCUACGGGAGGCAGCAGUGGAGAAUAUUACAGAAUGGGCGGAAGCCUGAUGCAGCAACGCCGCGUGCGGGAUGACGGCCUUCGAGUUGUAAACCGCUUUCGCCUGUGACGAAGCGUGAGUGACGGUAAUGGGUAAAGAAGCACCGGCUAACUACGUG